rfam:Endosymbiont of Codakia orbicularis strain COS CODIS_contig000033, whole genome shotgun sequence.
GGCCAGGUAGCUCAGUCGGUAGAGCAGGGGACUGAAAAUCCCCGUGUCGGCAGUUCGAUUCUGUCCCUGGCCA